rnacentral:pre_miRNA from 1 species
UUUAUCUCCUUCGUCGGCAUCAUUGACUUGACAUAUUUGCAUAUAGAGUAUUGUACAGGAUUAAAAAAAUAAAUUUAAUGGCAUUUUCAACGGCCAAAAGCAUGAUUCAACUUAAGACCAUGAAGGGAAUAUAAUGUGAUGAGGGAAAUGAAGACGACGAAGUAGUCAAA